AGUGAACGCUGGCGGUAGGCCUAACACAUGCAAGUCGAACGGCAGCACAGUAAGAGCUUGCUCUUACGGGUGGCGAGUGGCGGACGGGUGAGGAAUACAUCGGAAUCUACUUUUUCGUGGGGGAUAACGUAGGGAAACUUACGCUAAUACCGCAUACGACCUACGGGUGAAAGCAGGGGAUCUUCGGACCUUGCGCGAUUGAAUGAGCCGAUGUCGGAUUAGCUAGUUGGCGGGGUAAAGGCCCACCAAGGCGACGAUCCGUAGCUGGUCUGAGAGGAUGAUCAGCCACACUGGAACUGAGACACGGUCCAGACUCCUACGGGAGGCAGUAGUGGGGAAUAUUGGACAAUGGGCGCAAGCCUGAUCCAGCCAUACCGCGUGGGUGAAGAAGGCCUUCGGGUUGUAAAGCCCUUUUGUUGGGAAAGAAAGGCAGCAGGUUAAUACCCCGCUGUUCUGACGGUACCCAAAGAAUAAGCACCGGCUAACUUCGUG
rnacentral:rRNA from 1 species